UCCAGACUCCUACGGGAGGCAGCAGUGGGGAAUAUUGGGCAAUGGGCGCAAGCCUGACCCAGCAACGCCGCGUGAAGGAAGAAGGCUUUCGGGUUGUAAACUUCUUUUCUCAGGGACGAAGAGAGUAACGGUACCUGAGGAAUAAGCCACGGCUAACUACGUGCCAGCAGCCGCGGUAAUACGUAGGUGGCAAGCGUUAUCCGGAUUUACUGGGUGUAAAGGGCGUGUAGGCGGGAAAGCAAGUCAGAUGUGAAAACUAUGGGCUCAACCCAUAGCCUGCAUUUGAAACUGUACUUCUUGAGUGCUGGAGAGGCAAUCGGAAUUCCGUGUGUAGCGGUGAAAUGCGUAGAUAUACGGAGGAACACCAGUGGCGAAGGCGGCUUACUGGACUGUAACUGACGUUGAGGCUCGAAAGCGUGGGGAGCAAACAGGAUUAGAUACCCCUGUACC
rnacentral:rRNA from 1 species